CCGUGAGGGACGAAGGCUUCUGAGUUGUUAACCUCUUUCGACAGGAACGAUUGUGACGGUACCUGUAGAAGAAGCACCGGCCAACUAUGUGCCAGCAGCCGCGGUGAUACAUAGGGUGCAAGCGUUAUUCGGAUUUAUUGGGCGUAAAGAGCUCGUAGGCGGUUCGACAAGUCGGGUGUGAAACCCCCAGGCUCAACCUGGGGCAGCCACCCGAAACUGUUGUGACUAGAGUUUGGUAGGGGAUCACGGAAUUCCUGGUGUAGCGGUGGAAUGCGCAGAUAUCAGGAGGAACACCAGUAGCGAAGGCGGUGAUCUGGGCCAAUACUGACGCUGAGGAGCGAAAGCGUGGGGAGCGAACAGGAUUAGAUACCCUGGUAGUCCACGCCGUAAACGGUGGGCACUAGGUGUGGGGACUUUUCAACGGUUUCCGAGCCGCAGCUAACGCAUUAAGUGCCCCGCCUGGGGAGUACGGUCGCAAGACUAAAACUCAAAGAAAUUGACGGGGGCCCCGCACAAGCAGCGGACCAUGUGGCUUAAUUCGAUGCAACGCGAAAAAACUUACCUACGUUUGACAUGU
rnacentral:rRNA from 1 species